rnacentral:rRNA from 1 species
AUGCGGUGCGACCCGCGACUCUGUUUGACUACUAAGGGGUGGCUACAGGUGUUCUGCACCCUGGGUCCCCCAUUGUGUCGGAUGAGCCCGUCCUUGUGCGGUCUCCUCCUGGGCUUGUAACAAAACCCCGGCGCCUAAUGUUCCAAGGAAAUCAACAUUGUCUAGUGCGUCCCCGUUGGCACCGGAGACGGUGCCGCUGCGGGUGGCGUUGUGACACGCAUAUCCCAAAGACUCUCGGCAACGGAUAUCUCGGCUCUUGCAUCGAUGAACAACGUAGCGAAAUGCGAUACUUGGUGUGAAUUGCAGAAUCCCGUGAACCAGCUAGUCGUUGAACGCAAGUUGCGCCCGAAGCCAACAGGCCGAGGGCACGCCUGCCUGGGUGUCUCACAUCGUUGCCCCAAAUGCAUCGGCCUUGUGCUAGGCAUCUAGCGGGGCAAGUGUUGACUUCCCGCUAGCUAUGUCUCACGGUUGGUUGAAAAUUGAGUCCGUGGUGAGGGUGCCGCGAUGGAUGGUGGUCGAGUAAAAUCUAAAGAUCGAUCGUGCGCGUCACCCCUAUCGGAGUUGGGACUCUGUGACCCAUGAGCGCCUGUUGGUUGCCCAUGACGGGACCUCAGGUCAGGCGGGGCUACCCGCUGAGUUUAAGCAUAUCUAUAA